GGGAACGGCGAAGGGGAGCAGGUAGAGCCCGGCGGAGGUGAAGACGCAGACGGCGAGCGCGAGGCAGAGCUUGGCGGAUUUCCCUUUGUCGUUGAUGAGGUUAUAGAGGCGGAGCACCAUGUGGAGGAGGUAGUUGUAGAGGCUGCCGAGGAUUCCCCCGAUGACGCCCACGAGGGUCACGAGCAGGAGGUCGCCGACGUGGUACCGGACGGUGACGUCGCUGACGUCG
rnacentral:lncRNA from 1 species